rnacentral:rRNA from 1 species
UACAGAGGGGGCAAGCGUUGUUCGGAAUUACUGGGCGUAAAGGGCGCGUAGGCGGCCCGCUAAGUCGAACGUGAAAUCCCCGGGCUCAACCCGGGAACUGCGUCCGAUACUGGUGGGCUUGAAUCCGGGAGAGGGAUGCGGAAUUCCAGGUGUAGCGGUGAAAUGCGUAGAUAUCUGGAGGAACACCGGUGGCGAAGGCGGCAUCCUGGACCGGUAUUGACGCUGAGGCGCGAAAGCCAGGGGAGCAA